GUUUCUAGUAGGACCGGUCAAAGUGGGAGCUACAUCCGGUCGACGAAGGCGGGCAUAUCCGGUUAGACGCUAAUGAGUGGAGAAGGCAAAUACGAAUAGAUACGUUCCUAUUUGAGGUGACGAAAGCAGCAUCAGCAGCAGCAGUGAUGACAGUGGCAGCACUGAUGGAGACUCUGAUGCGGUCCCUAGCACCAGUUCUGCAGCUACUGCUGCGAGAGCAGCUGCUACCACAGCAGCUGCUACAAAACAAAAAAGACAGAGGGUAGAGUGGAAGACAGCAAGAAGACAGAAAGAAGUCCCAGUUUGGCAAGACGCUCUUCCUGAGGCCGAUGCAGUCAGACUGCCCAUCCAAUACUUCAGAGACUUUUUUGAAAUGAAUACUAUUUAUAUUUAAAUUAUUUGUUGGCAUCAAUAAAAUGAAUUACAUGCCUGAUA